GACUCCUACGGGAGGCAGCAGUGGGGAAUAUUGGACAAUGGACCAAAAGUCUGAUCCAGCAAUUCUGUGUGUUUGAUGAAGGCCUUCGGGUUGUAAAGAACUUUCAGUGGGGAAGAAGCAAGUGACGGUACCCACAGAAGAAGCGACGGCUAAAUACGUGCCAGCAGCCGCGGUAAUACGUAUGUCGCAAGCGUUAUCCGGAAUUAUUGGGCAUAAAGGGCGUCUAGGCGGUCUAAUAAGUCUGAUGUGAAAAUGCGGGGCUCAACUCCGUAUUGCGUUGGAAACUGUUAGACUAGAGUUUUGGAGAGGUAGGCGGAACUACAAGUGUAGAGGUGAAAUUCGUAGAGAUUUGUAGGAAUGCCGAUGACGAAGGUAGCUUACUGGACAAAUACUGACGCUGAAGCGCGAAAGCUAGGGGAGCAAACAGGAUUAGAUACCCUGGUGG
rnacentral:rRNA from 1 species